CAGCGCUGUCAGCAGGAGGUUUCCUGGUGCCCGCAAGGCCUCAGCGUCCAGAGCAGCCCUUGGCACGCUCGUGGCAGGAGGAUCACCUCGACUGUGCUGUUCUCAGAUUACAGCGGGUGUCCUUUUGCUUCUGUAUUUUCUUGCACAGUCCGUAGAGUCGUGCAAGUGUCCUGUUGCUCCCCUUUUUCCUUGCACAGUCUGGGGACUUGUGCAAGAGGGGGGGUUUUUUCUAUUUUUUUUCCUGGCCUACGGACUCGAGCAGCACUGCUCAAACGAUGGAGCGAGUCCGUAGAGCAGUCAGCAGCGCCUUUUCAUUGGCGGCUUCUCGGAAAGCUUUUCAUCGUUUGACUGGUCGCCUCAGACGUGGAAGGAAUCAAGGGCACGUUUCGGUCCCUCAAGGAGAGGUCCUCGCCAGUCAGGACUCCUCGGUCCAGGCAGGAAAGGC